AGCUCAAAUUUAAAAUCUGGCAGUCUUUGAUUGUCCGAGUUGUAAUUUAGAGAAGUGUUACCCGUGUUGGACCGUGUACAAGUUUCCUGGAAUGGAACGUCAUAGAGGGUGAGAAUCCCGUCUUUGACACGGAUCCCAAUGCAUUGUGGUAUACUUUCGAAGAGUCGAGUUGUUUGGGAAUGCAGCUCUAAAUGGGUGGUAAAUUCCAUCUAAAGCUAAAUAUUGGGGAGAGACCGAUAGCGAACAAGUACCGUGAGGGAAAGAUGAAAAGAACUUUGGAAAGAGAGUUAAACAGUACGUGAAAUUGCUAAAAGGGAAACGCUUGAAGUCAGUCGCGUUGUCCAGGGAUCAGCCUUCCUUUUGGUUGGUGUACUUCCUGGUUGACGGGUCAGCAUCAGUUUUGACCRGUGGAUAAGAGUGAGAGGAAUGUGGCAUCUUCGGGUGUGUUAUAGCCUUUUAUUGUAUACAUYGGUUGGGACUGAGGAACUCAGCACGCCGCAAGGCCGGGUUUUUAACCACGUUCGUGCUUAGGAUGCUGGCAUAAUGGCUUUAAUCGACCCGUCUUGAAACACGGACCAAGGAGUCUAACAUGCCUGCGAGUGUUUGGGUGGAAAACCCGAGCGCGUAAUGAAAGUGAAAGUUAGGAUCCCUGUCGUGGGGAGCACUGACGCCCUGUCCAGAGCUUUUGUGACGGUACAGCGGUUGAGCAUGUAUGUUGGGACCCGAAAGAUGGUGAACUAUGCCUGAAUAGGGUGAAGCCAGAGGAAACUCUGGUGGAGGCUCGUAGCGAUUCUGACGUGCAAAUCGAUCGUCGAAUUUGGGUA
rnacentral:rRNA from 1 species